rnacentral:tRNA from 1 species
UCCCUCUUAGCUCAGUUGGUAGAGCGCGUCACUAGUAACGCUAUGACGAGGUCAGUCGUUCAAAUCGGCUAGCGGGAA